GAUUCAGUGCUUAUUUGUGCAAACCCAGUUUUUUUAUCUUUUCUUUCUUUUUUUUUUUUUUUUUUUUUUUUUUUUUUUUUGAAAGGUCUCCGCUGUUCCUGGUAGUUUUAUGUAGAAAAGGUCAUGUGAACAGCAGGGAGCAGUGAGCACUUGGAAGGGGGGGUGCAGGUAGUUCCUUCAGGGUGGGGGAGUGAAUGUGGCCUAGGAACAGCUCUCUGGUCAAGUGAGCAGCAGAGGAACUGAAGGAUGCUCUUCCCCAGCAGAGCUGCUGCUUUGUGCUCUGGGGCAGCGCUGCCGGUGCUGGGCUUCCUCGGGGAAAACAGCUCCUUUGGGAUGUGCUUUGCUGCAAAGGUUUCCCUGAGCUGGGUGUCUGCAAGAGGCAUCGGGAUACCAGUGUCAGGACUUUUCCAUGGUUUCCAAGCUGUUGUACACAGCACGUUCCGGGCAAUUUGCCAGCGUGAGGCAGAGCAAAAUGGGUGCAAUUGGACCCUGCAAAUGCAGUUCAGGCAGACGUUGAUCUUUUAACUUUUCCAUUGUAGGUGCGAAUUCUUGGGCAUUUGUGAGUCUGCCUUGACUUGCAGGGAUUGAAGGGUUUAGGUGUGGAGUUGUUUGGCCAGCUUGCUCCAAGGCUUGGUGUACUUCUGGAAGUGCCACACACCUCGCAGGACCGAGGGGCUGCUGGCUGGGUGCUGGUUCUGCUCUGCCCUGGGAACUGGGAGCCCCUGGGAGGGCUGGGGGUGACACCUGGAGAUGGGCUGGGGAAGCCUGGAAUUGUAUCUCAGCACUUUUCUAUGCAGCUCUAUGGACCGGUGUGUGCUGAACGAAGCGGCUCUUCAGCACAAUAAAUUCAGCAGUUUGGAAAAACCAUGGAAUAUCUCCGAGUUAAUGAUGGGAGAGGGUUGGGGCUGCUCCCUGAUAACGUGCAGGGCUCGGGGGUGCGAAACGAAGAUGGGGAGAGGAGUGGGGGCUGCUCCUCGUUGUCGGGGCGCCGCGGGCGCUGCGCAGCCUUCCCCUUUUACUUCCCAAUUCCUCAUUUUGUGCCUCCUUUUCCUUUGGGGAUGCGCCCGGGCCGCAUUCCAGCGGCCACCGUGGGACAGCGCCUGUGGGCGGUGGGGUUUCCCGCGUGAUUGACGGGCCCAGCGGCCAAUGGGGAGGCGGGGCGGGCCGAGGCCUGGCCAAUGGGGAGGCGGCUCGGGGCGGCGCGCGGCCAGUUGGAAUCGGCGGGAGCGGUUGGGGCGGGCGGGCAUGGACGGGCCCGGGCGAAUCCACAGCCCAAGCCACGUGCACACACUGCAGAUGUGAAGUGUAUUUUUACUGCCAGCAAGCACCUGGGAAUAAAAAAACCUCAGCCCCAAAGCUUGAUGUCUAAACAGCAACACAGAAGUUCUAAACCAGCUGUCUGGAUUUGAAAAGAUUUGAAAAGACAUAUGUCUUUGGAAGUUAACAUAGAGUUCAACUUGAUGUAGUGAUCGACUUAGGUUCAGCUUAAAAAAGGCCCUACCGACAUUUUAUUGUAUCUAAUCCCUGCUUUCUCCUGCGUUUUAGUUCUUGCCUCUCGGCCCACUCUGUUUCACGGGGCUGUACAUGGUGAAACACUUCCCUGUGUGCUUUCUGGGUUUGAGCUGCCCUGCCCCGGCACGUAGGGUCACGGUUAAGUAGAAGAGUUAUCAAACUUAGUGGUUCAUCUCUUUUUCAUGGGUUUUUGGGUAGAAAACUUACGGGCCUGGUGUGGGAAUAACUCCCAGCCCUCGGCGUCUCAUUGACCGCCUCCCGUUGUCUCGCAGGUCCCUGAGGCGGCUUCGGAUCUCCGCGGUCACCGACGCUGCCGAUUUUCCCGGCGCGCGCCGUUCGACGUCGAGGAGCGGCAUCCAGAAGCUGUGUCGGAGCAUCUUCCUGGCUGGAAUGUUUUGAGUAAGGGCUGCAGUCAGGGUGUAAGCUGAAGGGUGUGUGACUGUGUGUGUGUGUGACUGUGUCUGUCUGCCUGCGAGAAGAGUGCGGGUGUGGAAUGGUUCUGACCUUGUGUGUGGGAGUUUUGCCUUACAGGCUUUUCAGCUACUUUUUAAACUUAGAGUAAAAACAACCCAGCUGCGCUGGCUGGGGAUUUUUUCCCUCCCGGCUGGGUUUUUUUAUCUGGGACCCGGCCGGUCUGUGAGAUGCCAUUCAUCGCCAGGGUUUGGGUGCCGACCGUGCCGGGGAUUUGUCAGGCGGGAUGAUUUUGGGGCUCCCGGGAACCGCGCUCCCAUGGGGUGCUCUUGAGACGAGAGCGAGGGUGGGUUUGUGUGUCAGCUGAAGGAGGUGUGUGGUGGAUGAGUGUUUUCUUCUCCAUGUGCUGCUGUUGCUUUGGGUUCCUAGAACAAUAAAAUGUAAUGAAUUUUCCAGAAAUAGAACAAUUGUUACAUUGUACUGAUAGGGGGUUGGCUUGUGUUGCUCUGUAUUCGUGUUUGCUGCUGCACUUGCACAUACUGCUCUGUAUGUCAAUUGGACUUUGACCAGUGUGCAUAUGGAUUGUAUUUGUGCUUGUGCUUGUGUGCAUUGUUGUUUCCACUUGCUUUGCUGAAGUGUAAAUAAAAAACCCUCGUUCAAUAAAGUUGAAUAAACCCUAAUAAAGAUACCCCCCCUCCCCCCUU